UGCCUCAUCCUGCGCACAGAUGCGCGUUUACUGUGAGCGACUGCAGAAACUCAUCACAAACAUCCCUGCACGACAGACCCGGGACAUGGAGAGAGGCUCAGACUGAGAUUCAGUUUAUCCUAGAAGAAAACCUCAGAGUCUGAGACGAACGUCCUGCCAACAUGUUCACCACCAAAAGGCUGAAGAAGAAGUCCCAGUCGGUGGACAUCGGCUCUCAAGGCUUUCCAGCACGCCUCAUCCCGAGUCUGUCCUUAAACAGAUCUUCACCACCUGCUGCCAAGACAAACACAUCUGAGGUGCAGGAGAACAACACCACCAAUGCCCAGCGCCGUGUGCCACGCUGCAGCGAUCUGAAAAGGGGAUACACCAUAGGGAUUUUUCCUCCACAAAUGCCAUGAGGAAAUGCCUGGCGUUAAAGCUGCCUGCCACCCCCUCGUGUGCCAGACUGUAUGCGUGACACUGCCAGUGACUCCUUUAGUGUGGAGAGUCUAGUAGUGAAAAACUGUUUGUUUGUUUGUUUGUUUGUUUGUUUGUUUGUUUGUUUCCCUGUCACAAUGAGGUUUUCAACCUACUGUUGUAGACAAAAUGUUAAGCCAUGAUGACAGUAAUAUUUUUCAAAUUAUUUUGCAAGAUUUUCCUGUUUUACAAGCAGGGAUGGACAAAAAUACAUUGAAAUAUAUUUUUAAAAUAAAAUAUUAAAAACCUCAAUUUUACAUGUAUCAAAAUACGGCAGUCACAAAUGUAUCGAAAUAAAAUAUUGUAUUUUAUGUUGUGAAAAUACUACAAAAUACUUUUACGAGGGAGCAUGACAAUGCUUCGCAAACCUUCCAUCAACAAGCCUCUUUGAUCAAUCCCUUCUCUACACCUCAUUCACCUACUGUACAUGAGGAGAUAUUCAUAAAAAUGUAACU
ensembl:processed_transcript oxr1a oxidation resistance 1a